GCCAGCGUAGCUCAAUUGGCAGAGCAGCUGAUUUGUAAUCAGCAGGUUGAGGGUUCAAGUCCCCCCGCUGGCUCC
rnacentral:tRNA from 1 species